GAAGGGACCUCUGGAGCUCUCCCAGUCCAACCCCAUGUUACAGCAGUUCCCUGAGGAUCUGCACACAAAGUGGGCUUGGAUCUCUCCACGGAAGGAGACUCCUCCAUCUCUCUGAGCUCAGUACCAGGGUUCUGACAUCGCCACAGCACAGAACUUCUUCCUCAUGGCCAUACGGAACAUUCUAGGCUCCAGUCUGUGCCCAGUGCCCCUUGUCCUGAUGCUGGGCACCAUGGAACAGAGCCCAGCCCCAUCCACGUGACUCCCAUUCUUUUGAAUAUUUAUAAUCACCACUUAGAUCCCCUCAGCAGAGGGAACAGGUAGUGGUAUUGGCCUUGGGACUGAAGAACCCGUGGUUGAGAAUCUAAUGAAGUUGAGGGCUCCUAGGAAAAAAGUGAGGAAAAGAAAAACAUCUGCUCCCCAAGAUCCCACAGCAGCUUUCUGCUUGUCUUAGCACACAGGGCUAGCAGCAGCAUUCUAACCCUGAGGCUCCCAGCAUAGAGCAGCUCAAUACACAUGUGGCAAUGCUAAGUCCUAAUCAUCCUCAGCUGCUCCACCACCCCACCCAUGAGCUGGGCUCCAUUUAAGCUCCAUCCAGGGCACUCCUUCUAGUUAGAGAUCUGCUGUGGGUCUGCCUGGUCUCUGAGGGAGCUCAGGCUUUUCUGGCCCUGUGUUCCUUGCCUUGGCUGAUGGUGGCCAGAGAUGUGACCCUUACUGGGAUGCUGCUGGAUGCACCAGGGUGCUGUGUGCCUGCUCUUACACUGUGGUGCCCUGUAUGAUGGAGGAACUGCCUUGUGCGAUGCCCUGGAAGCCUUCCCUAAAUAUGGUGCAAGCAAGCUGGCUCUCACACAACGAUGCAUGAGGAGCUUGGCCCAGAGGAGAGGUCUUCCAGGAUGCCCUGCUUGACAGCAGGCAGUGCCUGUGGCUUCAGCUCUGACAACAGAGCCUGAGGGUGAUGAGUUCUGUGGGAAAGAUUGACAAUCUUUUACAAAAUACUUGAAGAGAAGAACAGCAUUGUAAAACGCCUUUCUCCAUUGAAGGAAAAAAGCUUCAAAGAAGGGCAUCUCUGGCUUCUGAAGGGGACAACCGAGGUGGGCUGUCAGCUUGACCUUCGUGCUGGUAUUGAAUCCACUGCUGGACGAGGACUGCCAUGGAAGCUGGGGCUGGUGGCAAAGUCAGAGGGUAAACUGUUCCCUAGAAUCCGUGGUAUCUAUUUCUAAGCAGCAGUCAGCCAUUAUUUGGCUUCUUCAUGAAGCAGGAGAAUUGCAGUAGGUAAUCAUGUUGACCGCUCAGAGUUGGAAGAUAUGUUCCAGAUUUGUGCUACAAAUAGAGAGGCAUUGUUAUUUUUGUCACAGAUUCGAGGGGAUGAAUUUGCAUGUUGUUGCCUUUAUAGCCAAAGCUCCUUGUAAACAGCAAAGAAAAAAACAGCAAAUGAUAAAAAAAAAAAAGUGGAGGAAAGAAUCAUAAAGGAAGGUGAGAAAGCAGAGUGAGGCACGUGAUACCUGCAGCACUGAAGGCAGUGACGCAGUGGGAAAGGCAGAGUCACAGGAGCCUCUUCCCCCUGGUUGAGUGAAAACCCAACUAAUGCCACAUUAGGUUCUAAGAUUCCAAGAUCUAAUAGGACAUGUAAUUGUGAUGCUGAAGCUAAUCAUCUCCAGCCAUCCUUGCACUGGUGUUAUUGCCUGCUAACAGCCUUCAGAGCUCAGAUAGAGCAGUACAGCCUGGUGCUCUUUCCCUCUUCCAAUUACAUUUUUUUUGACAUCUCAGCUUUUGGCAGUAGUUUCUGGUCUUGCAUUCUCUUUGUUUACCACAUGCCAUUGUUGUACAGCUCAGGCACUGUCUUUCUGAUCAAACUGGAGCUUGCCAUUAAAUCAGACUUGUUUAUGUGCAGGUGCUGCUUGCAGCUGAGCGCUUACCCUGUGCAGCACAAGCUCUGGCACUCAUACAGUGUGUGCUUUGGGAAGGCCAGCAGUGGCCCUGCAGGCAGGGGAAAUACAUGGGGGAGGGGCUCACCCCAAGGCUCAGCACUGCUGGUGGCACUGAGACCAGGUAAGGUUGGUUUUGGGGGCUCCAAACACGUGGGACUCUGGGUUCUUUCCAUAGACUUGGUCAGCAGAAAACUUGAUUUCACAGAAUCAUAGACCCAUUGAGGUUACUUGGUCUAAGGUCACUAAGACCAGCCCUAAUCCAUCGCUGCUGUGCCCACCAAAUCCUUUAUCCCAGUGUAUCCCAAGGCCCUCACACAGCCCACCCCAGCUGUGGCCCCACUGUCUCAAUAACCCUUCUGUGCUCAGAGGCACCUCUUAAUUUCUGUUUGACCUUGGCUUUAUGCUGGAGCACUGCCACAGCCACUGAUGUCACAGAUUUAGAAAGAGCAACAGAAAAAUUGACUUUGAAUGUUGAAGAGGGAAGCAGAUGCUUCUCCUUCAUUGUGGAAAGAAACAACAUGAAGGUUGCUAGUGCUGAAAGGAAGUACUGUCAAAUCAAUGGGAGAGCUUUGGGUACCAUUCUCUAUGGAAGAGUGUUGAUUCCUGGCUGAAAGCACACUUCUGCCUGAGCGCUCAGGGCUGGGUGCUGCUGGAAUCUGGGGGCACUGUGCAGCUUAACCGCCUCAAGCCACUCCUGUACAUGAUUCUUCAGUUCUAUAUUGCUCCACUGAAGCUAAUGAUAAUCAAGAAUUUAUUUUUUCUGCAUAAUCUACACUGGCCUUUCCACGCAUUAAACCCAAGAUCGCACCACAUCAUUUAAAAUUGCAUCCAGAAAUGAUUUCCUCUCUCUGCUGAAGCCUCUGAACGUCUGCUGUGCAGAUCUGAAAUUGGAUUACCUCUCCCUGGCAGCAGAGGAGAUGAGGGCUGGAGAGAGCCAGAGGAAGCAUUUUGUUCAAAUUUAUUGUCUAACUAAAUCAAUCUCCAUAUGAAAAGACUUAUAUCUUAGUCGAUGUGGGCUGUUUUUAGCCCAGACACCAAUAAAUUGUGGUCAAUCAGAGGAAGGCAGCAAGCUGCUUUUUGGCGGAGCCCUGCCUCCACUGAGCUCUCUGUUUCUGGUUUUCAGCUCUGCCACUGCAUAGGCUGAAAUUUUAUUUCCUUGCCUGAAGUGUCUCAGUUAUCAGUGUUGACCGAGCAGUUCACCUGCUUCUGAUAUCGGUGUCUGCAUUAGGGAAUGGAUGUGGGAACUGAAGACUGCACUGCGAGAGAUGGAGUGAGCAUGGGGAGGUGAGCAGAGGCUGUACACUGGUGCUGGGGAUGUUGGUGUGCUGAAGCUCCAACCCCCCCAAAUGGGGCACUGGGAAUGAAUUUCAGCAGCUGCCCCCAUACCAAGAACCAACAGAUUCCUAAAUGCUUUCUCCCCCUGGAGCCGUGGUGGUGGGGGACCAGCAUCAGGGUUAUAUGAGGGAGGGGGCUUGGAAGUAUGUAGAGCUGGAGGGCUGCUCCAGCACCCUCCUGCAUGUACAGGGAAAUAGACUGGUUCAGUGAAGCAGUGCCAUGCUGACAUCUGCUUCUCUGUAAUAAUCCUGUGCUGUGUAAUAAUAAACCCACAGUGCUCCA